CCGAGUUUACAACUCCCAAACCCCUGUGAACAUACCUAUGUUGCUUCGGCGGCUAGCCCGGGUCCCCGGACCCGAUGCCGCCGGAGGUCAAACCCUUUUAUCUUUAUACAUUCUCUGAAUAAAAAACAAAUAAAUCA
rnacentral:misc_RNA from 1 species